AUUGAACGCUGGCGGCAGGCCUAACACAUGCAAGUCGAACGAGUGGCGGACGGGUGAGUAAUGUCUGGGAAACUGCCUGAGGGAGGGGGAUAACUACUGGAAACGGUAGCUAAUACCGCAUCCCAUCGGAUGUGCCCAGAUGGGAUUCGCUAGUAGGUGGGGUAAAGGCUCACCUAGGCGACGAUCCCUAGCUGGUAUGAGAGGAUGACAAGGCACACUGGAACUGAGACACGGUCCCGACUCCUACGGUAGGCAGCAGUGGGGAAUAUUGCACAAGGGGCGCAAGCCUGAUGCAGCCAUGCCGCGUGUAUGAAGAAGGCCUUCGGGUUGUAAAGUACUUGCAGCGGGGAGGCGUUACCCGCAGAAGAAGCACCGGCUAACUCCGUGCCAGCAGCCGCGGUAAUUC
rnacentral:rRNA from 1 species